UACGUAGGGUGCGAGCGUUGUCCGGAAUUAUUGGGCGUAAAGAGCUCGUAGGCGGUCUGUCGCGUCGAUCGUGAAAACUUGGGGCUUAACCCUGAGCUUGCGGUCGAUACGGGCAUGACUGGAGUUCGGCAGGGGAGACUGGAAUUCCUGGUGUAGUGGUGAAAUGCGCAGAUAUCAGGAGGAACACCGGUGGCGAAGGCGGGUCUCUGGGCCGAUACUGACGCUGAGGAGCGAAAGCGUGGGGAGCGAACAGG
rnacentral:rRNA from 1 species